CCUACGGGUGGCAGCAGUGAGGAAUAUUGGUCAAUGGGCGCUAGCCUGAACCAGCCAAGCAGCGUGAAGGAUGAAUGCCCUAUGGGUUGUAAACUUCUUUUAUAUGGGAAUAAAGUGCAGUAUGUAUACCGCUUCGCAUGUACCUUAUGAAUAAGGAUCGGCUAACUCCGUGCCAGCAGCCGCGGUAAUACGGAGGAUCCGAGCGUUAUCCGGAUUUAUUGGGUUUAAAGGGAGCGUAGGCGGGUUGUUAAGUCAGGUGUGAAAGUAUGUGGCUCAACCGUAGAAUUGCAGUUGAUACUGGCAUCCUUGAGUACAGUAGAGGUAGGCGGAAUUCGGGGUGUAGCGGUGAAAUGCUUAGAUAUCACGAAGAACUCCGAUUGCGAAGGCAGCCUGCUGGACGGUAACUGACGCUGAGGUUCGAAAGUGUGGGUAUCAAACAGGAUUAGAUACCCCUGUAGUC
rnacentral:rRNA from 1 species